UGUAGGGUGUGGCUCGUUGGUUCGGCCGCCCCGCCAAGGGCGGCCGUCGUAAGAGGGAACCCGGUGGGAGUCCGGGACUGCCCCGCAGCGGUAUGUGGGAACGACCGCCGUCAGGAGCACUGGGCGCGAUGGCGUGCCUGGGAAGCGACGGCCAGUAGGUCCGUCGGCGCCACCGGUGCCGGCGGGAGCCCGCGAGUCCGAAGACCUGCCAGCGUGCCGCGCGCGAA
rnacentral:ncRNA from 2 species